rnacentral:rRNA from 1 species
AGGUUCCAGGUCGGCAGCCUGGACUAGCAGGGUGGAUGUCGUUUGAGUUUCUGUUUGUGAUUCAUCUGUAGUCGGAUGGUCCUCUUAUGUAUUGUGUUGUUGUAUUCAUGUGGCAUUGUAUGCCUUUGUUAUGUAUCCCCAUCCAUUAUGUAAUGUUGAUAUAAUGAUAUCCACCUUCCAAAAGCGUAUCAAUAUGCGGUUAUAUCCUUGGUGAGACCUUCGUGUCUCUUUAGGAUAGUAUCGCAUAUUGGGCGUGACAUCCUCACGGGUCGCACCACUGUCCGACCCUGAUCUUUUGUGAAGGGUUCGAGUUGGAGCACGCCUGUCGGGACCCGAAAGAUGGUGAACUAUGCCUGAGCGGGGCGCAGCCAGAGGAAACUCUGGUGGAAGAUCGAAGCAAUAGUGACAUGCAAAUCGUUCGUCUGACUUGGUAUAGGGGUGAAAGACUAAUCAAACCAUCUAGUAGCUGGUUCCGUCCGAAGUUUCGCUCAGGAUAGCUGGAGCCCAUUACGAGUUCUAUCAGGUAAAGCCAAUGAUUAGAGGCAUUGGGGACGCAACGUCCUCAACCUAUUCUCAAACUUUAAAUAGGUAGGAUGGCGCGACUGCUUCGGUGAGCCAUGCCACGGAAUCGGGUGCUCCAAGUGUGCCAUUAUUGAUGAGCAGAACUGGCGAUGCGGGAUGAACCGGAAGACGGGUUACGGUGCCCAACUGCGCACUAACCUAGAACCCACAAAGGGUGUUGGUCGAUUAAGAUAGUAAGAUGGUGGUCAUGGAAGUCGAAAUCCGCUAAGGAGAGUGUAACAACUCACCCGCCGAAUCAACUAGCCCCGAAAAUGGAUGGUGCUGAAGCGCACGACCCACACCUGACCAUCUGGGUGAGCGCCAUGCCCUGAUGAGUAGGAGGGUGCGAUGGCCGCUGCAAAACCUGGGUCGCAAGACCGGGAGAAGCGGCCGAUGGUGCAGAUCUUGGUGGUAGUAGCAAAUAUUCUAAUGAGAACUUUGAAGGCCGAAGAGGAGAAAGGUUCCAUGUGAACUUCAAUUGCACAUGGGUAAGCCGAUCUUAAGGGACGGGGUAACCCCGGCAGAUAGCGCGAUCACGCGCAUCCCCUGAAAGGGAAUCAAGUUAAGAUUUCUCGAGCCGGGAUGUGGCGGUUGACGACAACGUUAGGAAGCCCAGAGAUGCCUGCGGGGGCCUCGGAAGAGUUAUCUUUUCUGCUUAACGGCCUGCCAACCCUGGAAACGGUUCAACCGGAGGUAGGUUCUAGUGGCCCAUCAGGUCUCCAAGGUGAACAACCUCUGGCCAAUGGAACAAUGUAGGCAAGGGAAGUUGGGAAAAUGGAUCUGUAACUUCGGGAAAAGGAUUGUCUCUAAGGACUGGGCUAGGGGGUCCCGGCCCCGAACCCAUCGGUUGUCGACGGAUUGCUCGAGCUGCUCACGCGGCGAGAGCAUGUCGCCGCGUGCCAGCCGGGUGCAGACCGGGAAUCGCCCCUUCGGGGUUUUUCAUUGAGCAUGAAACAGUCGACUCAGAACUGGUACGGACAAGGGGAAUCCGACUGUUUAAUUAAAACAACGCAUUGCGAUUGUUCUCAUGGAUGCUGACGCAAUGUGAUUUCUGCCUAGUGCUUUGAAUCUCAAAGUGAAGAAAUUCAACCAAGUGCGGGUAAAUGGCGGGAGUAACUAUGACACUCUUAAGGUAGCCAAAUGCCUUGUCAUCUAAUUAGUGACACGCAUAAAUGAAACCACAGCCAUGGAACGGGCUUGGCGGAAUCAGUGGGGAAAGAAGACCAUGUUGUGCUUGACUCUAGUCUGACUUUGUGAAAUGACUUGAGAGGUGUAGGAUAAGUUGGAGCCCUCACGGGCGCAAGUGAAAUACCACUUCUUUUAACAUUAUUUUACUUAUUCCGAGGGUUGGAAGCGGGGCAUGUCCCCUCCUUUUGGCUCCAAGGCUCGGUUUUAUCGGGCCGAUCCGGGUGGAAGACAUUGUCAGGUGGGGAGUUUGGCUGGGGCGGCACAUCAGUUUAAAGAUAAUGCAAGUGUCCUAAGAUGAGCUCAACGAGAAUAGAAAUCUCGUGCGGAAGAAAAGCGUAAAAGCUCGUUGGAUUCUGAUUUCCAGUACGAAUAUGAACCGUGAAAGCAUGGCCUGUCGAUCCUUUAGAUAUUCGAAGUAUGAAGCUAGAGGUGUCAGAAAAGUUACCAUAGGGAUAACUGGCUUGUGGCAGCCAAGCGUUUAUAGCGGUGUCGCUUUUUGAUCCUUCGAUGCCGGCCCUUCCUAUCAUUGUGAAGCAGAAUUCACCAAGUGUUGGAUUGUUCACCCACCAAUAGGGAACGUGAGCUGGGUUUAGACCGUCGUGAGACACAUUAAUUUUACCCUACUGAUGACAGUGUCGCGAUAAUUAUUCAACCUAGUAUGAGAGGAACCGUUGAUUCACACAAUUGGUCAUCGCACUUGGUUGAAAAGCCAGUGGCGCAAAGCUACUGUGUGACGAAUUAUUACUGAAUGCCUUAAGUCAGAAUCCAAGCUAGCAUGCGACGCCUGCGCCCGCCUCCCGCCCCGACUCAUGUUAGCGGCGCUUGCGCCCCCAAGGGAAUGUGCCAUUGGCUAAGCCGGUCCGGCCGACGUGCCGCGGCCGGCCGCCUUGAGGCUCCCUUCCCAAUGGGCGGUGGGCUGAAUCCUUUGCAGACAACUUAAAUACGUGACAGGGCAUUGUAAGUGGCAGAGUGGCCUUGCUGCCACGAUCCACUGAGAUCCACCCCCAUGUCGCAUGGAUUCGUCCCUCCCCCACAA